AUAAUAGGAAUGACAAGUUCAUCUCAUCUACUACUGAUUCCUGUGCGGACAUUUCUGGAAUAAUUAUACUGGGAAAAAUGGCAUUGAUUGCUAUGAUUUUACCAUUCCUCUUGUGUGUAGCAUUAUUGUCGGAAGGAUAUUUGACAGAGGUUUCAGGACCUGCUGAUCAACCACAAGUCAGUAAGGGAGGAUUUGAUGUUGAACCUCGAAGGAUAGUAGAUAACAAACCGCUCGAUGCCAAAAUCACCAGGAGAAGAGCUGCUGAAGAAUUAAAUGUACCUCCUUCAAUAGCCGGGAAAUGAUGACUUGUAACAAAAGGAAUAAAUUAUCUCAAAACUGAAAA